rnacentral:rRNA from 1 species
GAACGCGAAGAACCUUACCAGGUCUUGACAUCCAACGAAUCUGUCUGAAAGGACGGAGUGCCUUCGGGAGCGUUGAGACAGGUGGUGCAUGGUUGUCGUCAGCUCGUGUCGUGAGAUGUUGGGUUAAGUCCCGCAACGAGCGCAACCCUUGCUAUUAGUUGCUAACAGGUUAAGCUGAGCACUCUAAUGGGACUGCCGGUGACAAGCCGGAGGAAGGUGGGGAUGACGUCAAAUCAUCAUGCCCUUUAUGACCUGGGCUACACACGUGCUACAAUGGAUGGUACAGAGAGCAGCAAUGCCGCGAGGUGGAGCGAAUCUCAAAAAGCCAUUCUCAGUUCGGAUUGUAGUCUGCAACUCGACUACAUGAAGUCGGAAUCGCUAGUUAAUCGCGAAUCAGCAUGUCGCGGUGAAUGCGUUCCCGGGUCUUGUACCACCG